CCACCCUUGUGUAUUAUUACUUUGUUGCUUUGGCGAGCUGCCUUCGGGCCUUGUAUGCUCGCCAGAGAAUACCAAAACUCUUUUUAUUAAUGUCGUCUGAGUACUAUAUAAUAGUUAAAACUUUCAACAACGGAUCUCUUGGUUCUGGCAUCGAUGAAGAACGCAGCGAAAUGCGAUAAGUAAUGUGAAUUGCAGAAUUCAGUGAAUCAUCGAAUCUUUGAACGCACAUUGCGCCCCUUGGUAUUCCGGGGGGCAUGCCUGUUCGAGCGUCAUUUCAACCCUCAAGCUUAGCUUGGUAUUGAGUCUAUGUCAGUAAUGGCAGGCUCUAAAAUCAGUGGCGGCGCCGCUGGGUCCUGAACGUAGUAAUAUCUCUCGUUACAGGUUCUCGGUGUGCUUCUGCCAAAACCCAAAUUUUUCUAUGGUUGACCUCGGAUCAGGUAGGGAUACCCGCUGAACUUAAGCAUAUCAAUA
rnacentral:rRNA from 1 species